GGCUAUAGCUCAGCUAGUAGAGUGCUUGCCUCCCAUGCACAAGGCCCUGGGUUCAAUCCCCAGCACCA
rnacentral:tRNA from 1 species